rnacentral:lncRNA from 1 species
UAAACAAAAUUGAUAAAUUGCUAGCUAGAACAACCAAAAAAAAAAAAAAAAGACUACCAAAAUAAAAUCAGCAAUGAACAAGAAGACAGUACAACUGAUAACACAGGAAUUCAAAAGAUCAUAAAAGACUGCAAACAACAUGUAGUAACAAACUGGAAAACAGAAAAGAAUAGAUAAAUUCCUGAACACAUACAACCUACCAAAAUUGAAUCAGGAAGAAAUAGAAAACCUGAAUAGACCAAUAAUGAGUAAAAUAUUUGCAUAAGGACUAAAAUAGCUGCCCCCACUGAAAAAAUCCAGGACCAGCUAGCUUCGGUGCUAAAUUCAACCAAGCUUUUAAGUAAAAACUAAACUAGUUCUCUUCAAACUAUUCUGAAAAAUUGAAGAGGAGAGAAUUCUCCCUAACCUAUUCCAUGAGCGCAGCAUUACUCUGAUAUCCAAUCUAUACAAGGAUGCACCCAAAAAAGAAAACUACAGAUCAGUAUCCCUGAUAAACAUGUUAGAAAUAAUAAAACAACCAUGUUAGAAAACAGUAUAGAUAUAUACCCAGUAAUGGGAUUGCUGGGUCAAAUGGAAUUUCUAUUUCUAAGGCCUUGAGGAAUCGCCACACUGUCUUCCACAAUGGUUGAACUAAUUUACACUCCCACCAACAGUGUAAAAGUGUUUCUUUUUCUCCACAUCCUCUCCAGCAUCUGUUGUCUCCAGAUUUUUUAAUGAUCGCCAUUCUAACUGGCGUGAGAUGGUAUCUCAAUGUGGUUUUGAUUUGCAUCUCUCUGAUGACCAGUGACGAUGAGCAUUUUUUCAUGAUUGUUGGCCUCAUAUAUGUCUUCUUUCGUAAAGUAUCUGUUCAUAUCCUUUGCCCACUUUUGAAUGGGCUUGUUUGUUUUUUUCCUGUAAAUCUGCUUGAGUUGUUUGUAAAUUCUGGAUAUCAGCCCUUUGUCAGAUGGGUAGACUGCGAAAAUUUUUUCCCAUUCUGUUGGUUGCCGAUCCACUCUAGUGACUGUUUCUUUUGCUGUGCAGAAGCUGUGGAGUUUCAUUAGGUCCCAUUUGUCUAUUUUGGCUUUUGUUGCCAAUGCUCUUGGUGUUUUGUUCAUGAAGUCCUUGCCUACUCCUAUGUCCUUGAUAGUUUUGCCUAGAUUUCCUUCUAGGGUUUUUAUGGUGCCAGGUCUUAUGUUUAAGUCUUUAAUCCAUCUGGAGUUAAUUUUAGUGUAAGGUGUCAGGAAGGGGUCCAGUUUCUGCUUUCUGCACAUGGCUAGCCAGUUUUCCCAACACCAUUUGUUAAACAUGGAAUCCUUGCCCCAUUGCUUGUUUUUGUCAGGUUUAUCAAAGAUUGUAUAGUUGUAUGUAUGUUGUGUUGCCUCCGGUGCCUCUGUUUUGUUCCAUUGGUCUAUAUCUCUGUUUUGGUACCAGUACCAUGCUGUUUUGAUUACUGUAGCCUUGUAGUAUAGUUUGAAAUCCGGUAGUGUGAUGCCCCCCGCUGUGUUCUUUUUGCUUAGAAUUGACUUGGCUAUGCGGGCUCUCUUUUGGUUCCAUAUGAAGUUCAUGGUGGUUUUUUCCAGUUCUGUGAAGAAAGUUAAUGGUAGCUUGAUGGGGAUAGCGUUGAUUCUGUAAAUUACUUUGGGCAGUAUAGCCAUUUUCACGAUAUUCAUUCUUCCUAACCAUGAACAUGGAAUGUUUCUCCAUCUGUUUGUGUCCUCUCUGAUUUCGUUGAGCAGUGGUUUGUAGUUCUCCUUGAAGAGGUCCCUUACGUUCCUUGUGAGUUGUAUUCCUAGGUAUUUUAUUCUUUUUGUAGCAAUUGCGAAUGGCAGUUCGCUCUUGAUUUGGCUUUCUUUAAGUCUGUUAUUGGUGUAGACGAAUGCUUGUGAUUUUUGCACAUUGAUUUUAUAUCCUGAGACUUUGCUGAAGUUGUUUAUCAGUUUCAGGAGUUUUUGGGCUGAGGCGAUGGGGUCUUCUAGGUAUACUAUCAUGUCGUCUGCAAAUAGAGACAAUUUGGCUUCCACCUUUCCUAUUUGAAUACCCUUUAUUUCUUUUUCUUGCCUGAUUGCUCUGGCUAGAACUUCCAGUACUAUAUUGAAUAGGAGUGGUGAGAGAGGGCAUCCUUGUCUAGUACCAGAUUUCAAAGGGAAUGCUUCCAGUUUUUGCCCAUUCAGUAUGAUAUUGGCUGUUGGUUUGUCAUAAAUAGCUUUUAUUACUUUGAGAUACGUUCCAUCGAUACCAAGUUUAUUGAGGGUUUUUAGCAUAAAGGGCUGUUGAAUUUUGUCAAAUGCCUUCUCUGCGUCAAUUGAGAUAAUCAUGUGGUUUUUGUUUUUGGUUCUGUUUAUGUGGUGAAUUACGUUUAUAGACUUGCCUAUGUU